rnacentral:rRNA from 1 species
CAUGGAGUUUGAUCCUGGCUCAGAUUGAACGCCGGCGGCAUGCUUUACACAUGCAAGUCGAACGGUAACAGGUUAAGCUGACGAGUGGCGAACGGGUGAGUAAUGCAUCGGAACGUGCCCGGUCGUGGGGGGAUAACGCAGCGAAAGCUGCGCUAAUACCGCAUACGAUCUGAGGAUGAAAGCGGGGGACCGUAAGGCCUCGCGCGAUCGGAGCGGCCGAUGUCAGAUUAGGUAGUUGGUGGGUAAAGCUCACCAAGCCGACGAUCUGUAGCUGGUCUGA